rnacentral:rRNA from 1 species
UACGUAGGGUGCGAGCGUUGUCCGGAAUUAUUGGGCGUAAAGGGCUCGUAGGCGGUCUGUCGCGUCGGGAGUGAAAACUCAGGGCUUAACCCUGAGCCUGCUUCCGAUACGGGCAGACUAGAGUUCGGCAGGGGAGACUGGAAUUCCUGGUGUAGCGGUGAAAUGCGCAGAUAUCAGGAGGAACACCGGUGGCGAAGGCGGGUCUCUGGGCAGUAACUGACGCUGAGGAGCGAAAGCGUGGGGAGCAAACAGG